AGGACACCAUGGAACACUGUGCUGCCAUAGCUCUUACAUCCCUCCUGACUAUGAUGCUGAUUUCGUUUUCAAUCGUCUCCACACUUUCUGAGCCAGCUGAAAAAGAAGCAGCUCAAAAUAGAAGUCUCCAAAUGUUAAGGGUUUUUUUUAUGUGUAUGGAUGUUUGCAUCCUGUAUGUCUGUUCAUCUUGUUUGUCCUUGAUGCCCAUGGAGGAGAAC